rnacentral:tRNA from 1 species
GGAUUGUAGCUCAGUGGAGAGCACUUGCCUAGCAUGUAUGAGGCACUGAGUUCAAUUCUCAGCACCA